CGCAAUGGGCGCAAGCCUGAUGGAGCAACGCCGCGUGCAGGAUGAAGGCUUUCGGGUCGUAAACUGCUUUUAUUUGUGACGAUUAUGACAGUAGCAAAUGAAUAAGGGUCGGCUAACUACGUGCCAGCAGCCGCGGUCAUACGUAGGACCCGAGCGUUAUCCGGAAUUACUGGGCGUAAAGAGUUGCGUAGGUGGUUUGUUAAGUGAAUAGUGAAAUCGUGCGGCUCAACCGUAUACACAUUAUUUAAACUGGCAGACUUGAGUAUGGUAGAGGUCACUGGAAUUCCAAGUGUAGGAGUGAAAUCCGUAGAUAUUUGGAGGAACACCGAUGGCGUAGGCAGGUGACUGGACCAUAACUGACACUGAGGCACGAAAGCGU
rnacentral:rRNA from 1 species